GAAAUUGGACGAGUUAUUGAUUUCUGCUAAAAAAAACAAUCUUCAGUACGUCAAAUGCGGCAGACUAAGUUACAUAAAGGUCUCCAGGAAGUAAAGGAGUAUGGUGAAAGACUGAAAAGUUCUUAAGAGAAACUCCAGAAUCGCAUAACGCUCCUUCUCUGUGAUUACCGACAACUGCAGGGUGCCCAAUAAUAUGAUUGAAUUUUCACUUGUGAGAUCCUAGAAAUAGCUGAAAGACAUGAAUUAGUAGAUUAGGACAUGAAUACGUUGAGGAGUUCUUUUGCUACUGUGAGUCUGUGUUGGCUACUGAUGGACUUUUUGUACUCCAGGUACAUAUCAAAAUAUGAUGCAGAGGAGAACUCUAAUAUGUCAUUUUCUGCAAGUUUGAUAAAGGCCGUGGAUGUGAUUGGGGAAG